UACGUAGGGUGCAAGCGUUGUCCGGAUUUAUUGGGUUUAAAGGGUGUGUAGGCGGAUGUUUAAGUCUUGGGUGAAAGUCAUCAGCUCAACUGAUGAAGUGCCUGAGAUACUGGAUAUCUUGAGUGAACUUGAGGCUACUGGAAUUGGUGGUGUAGCGGUGAAAUGCAUAGAUACCACCAGGAACGUCAAUUGCGAAGGCAAGUAGCUGGGGUUCAACUGACGCUGAUGCACGAAAGCGUGGGGAGCAAACAGG
rnacentral:rRNA from 1 species